CUGCAGUGAUGUCUUUUCUUAGGACACCUUUGGAUUUACCGUGAAAAUUACUUGAUUCUGAGCAGC